CCUACGGGUGGCAGCAGUCGAGAAUCAUUCACAAUGGGGGAAACCCUGAUGGUGCGACGCCGCGUGGGGGAAUGAAGGUCUUCGGAUUGUAAACCCCUGUCAUGUGGGAGCAAAUUAAAAAGAUCGUACCACAAGAGGAAGAGACGGCUAACUCUGUGCCAGCAGCCGCGGUAAUACAGAGGUCUCAAGCGUUGUUCGGAAUCACUGGGCGUAAGGCGUGCGUAGGCUGUUUCGUAAGUCGUGUGUGAAAGGCGCGGGCUCAACCCGCGGACGGCACAUGAUACUGCGAGACUAGAGUAAUGGAGGGGGAACCGGAAUUCUCGGUGUAGCAGUGAAAUGCGUAGAGAUCGAGAGGAACACUCGUGGCGAAGGCGGGUUCCUGGACAUUAACUGACGCUGAGGCACGAAGGCCAGGGGAGCGAAAGGGAUUAGAUACCCGGGUAGUC
rnacentral:rRNA from 1 species